UGACCUGGCCCGCCGCCUCCCGGCCGCCGUAGGCGGGGCUUGGGGAUGGUACCCCGGGCCGCUCGCCUGCGCUUCUCCUCGGCCCGCGGAGCGAUGGGGCCGAGGAGCGGAGGGCGUAGGCCGACCUCCGGGUCGUUCGUUCGUCCAUUUAUUCGUUCAUUCCUCGAGUGCUGAGUUGCUGAAAAACUGCAGGUGGUAGUGCUGGGGGUUCUACACAGCGCCAUGGAAGAGCAUUCCCCUGAGUGUUUCCGGAACUGCUGGAGGAAACAGAAGUUAAAGAUCAAUUAGGGAUGGUCAGAGGACACUUGACCUUUGGAAGGGCGUUGAUAAUAUCUUUGUAGCUUCAGAGGAGGAGACCAACUAACGUCUGAAUUGCAGCAGGAGAAUUUUGUGGCUGGAGUCAUAAAGUCCCGGGGUUUGGAGAGGGCAAACGUUGAUUACAAAAUACCAGUGGUAGGUUGAGAAUACAUCUCGGUAGGGACCGUACUAUGGUGACUCUAUAAUACAAGUCCAGUUCGUGCAUGCGUUUCCAGAAAGCAGCCUCACACCAAACAAGGCAUCCCUACUGCUAGGAAUGCCAGCUGGAAUCUGAAUGGGCCCGUGUCAGGGAUGCCCUGAAACAAUUUUGAACUCAGUGGUGGUUUUGGACUAGAUGAUCCAUUUCAACUUGGAGCCUGUCAUUUUAUGGCUUUAAGUUCCGAGACGUUCUGAGAAGCUCUAGUUCUGCUGCUGCUGCUUUUUUUUUUCAUUUUUGGUGGAGGAGGAGAUUCUGGUCACCGUCAUUCUCCCCUUUUCCUCUAAGAAAUUUAUGCUUCUCAAAAAUCCAGGUCACGGCAGCUAAUCCUCCUCAUUCAACACCUGGGAUUCCAACCAAGAUGAUUUGGAAUGAACAGCGAAGGUGGUGGGGGAGGAAUCUGGUGUGUCUGUGUGUCUACAGAGCUAGCUCUUGUCUGAUUGCCUAUAUCUACCAUUUUAAGUCAUAAAAGUAUAGGUGUUUACAGUAAUACUGGCUGAAUUGUAUAAAGACUGAUUCUUGGGCUCUCUGGGUGUUUCUGAUCAAGGAGAUUCCUACUUGAUUGUGUCGCCAUUUGUUCUGCUUGUAAAAGUCCGUGGCAGUGCACCAUAUCUGUUAUGUCAAUCAGCUUUAAUGAAGGAAGCGGCUGCAUA